UACAGAGGUCUCAAGCGUUGUCUGGAUUUAUUGGGCGUAAAGAGCGUGUAGGCGGCCAGACAGGUCCGUUGUGAAAACUCGAGGCUCAACCUCGAGACGCCGAUGGAAACCGUCUGGCUAGAGUCCGGAAGAGGAGAGUGGAAUUCCUGGUGUAGCGGUGAAAUGCGCAGAUAUCAGGAAGAACACCCGUGGCUAAGGCGGCUCUCUAGUACGGUACUGACGCUGAGACGCGAAAGCGUGGGGAGCGAACAGG
rnacentral:rRNA from 1 species